rnacentral:rRNA from 1 species
AUUGAACGCUGGCGGCAGGCUUAACACAUGCAAGUCGAGCGGGGACUUCGGUCCUAGCGGCGAACGGGUGAGGAAUGCUUGGGAAUCUGCCUGGUAGUGGGGGAUAACGUUUCGAAAGGAACGCUAAUACCGCAUACGUUCUACGGGAGAAAGGGGGGGAUCUUCGGACCUCUCGCUAUCAGAGGCGCCCAAGGCGGAUUAGCUAGUUGGUGAGGUAAAGGCUCACCAAGGCAACGAUCCGUAGCUGGUCUGAGAGGAUGAUCAGCCACACUGGAACUGAGACACGGUCCAGACUCCUACGGGAGGCAGCAGUGGGGAAUAUUGGACAAUGGGCGAAAGCCUGAUCCAGCCAUGCCGCGUGUGUGAAGAAGGCCUUCGGGUUGUAAAGCACUUUAAGCGAGGAGGAAUGGCUCUGGGUUAAUACCCUUGAGCAGUGACGUUACCCGCAGAAUAAGCACCGGCUAACUCUGUGCCAGCCGCCGCAGUAAUAC